rnacentral:rRNA from 1 species
GAUGAACGCUGGCGGCGUGCCUAAUACAUGCAAGUCGAGCGAACAGACGAGGAGCUUGCUCCUCUGACGUUAGCGGCGGACGGGUGAGUAACACGUGGAUAACCUACCUAUAAGACUGGGAUAACUUCGGGAAGCCGGAGCUAAUACCGGAUAAUAUAUUGAACCGCAUGGUUCAAUAGUGAAAGACGGUUUUGCUGUCACUUAUAGAUGGAUCCGCGCCGCAUUAGCUAGUUGGUAAGGUAACGGCUUACCAAGGCGACGAUGCGUAGCCGACCUGAGAGGGUGAUCGGCCACACUGGAACUGAGACACGGUCCAGACUCCUACGGGAGGCAGCAGUAGGGAAUCUUCCGCAAUGGGCGAAAGCCUGACGGAGCAACGCCGCGUGAGUGAUGAAGGUCUUCGGAUCGUAAAACUCUGUUAUUAGGGAAGAACAAAUGUGUAGGUAACUAUGCACGUCUUGACGGUACCUAAUCAGAAAGCCACGGCUAACUACGUG